rnacentral:lncRNA from 1 species
CAUUUUCUGUACCUCUUUUCUGUGAGUUCAGGUGUCUAUUGCCGCAUUUCUGUCUUUUUAUCUAUUAGAAUGCCGCGGGUGAAAACUAUGCCUUCGAAACUACUAGCCAUAUCAGUGGAAACUGAAUUCAUGUCAAUCAUUCUGCAUGCUCAUUCAACCCAUGUUUCCAUCGAAUGUGUCAGCUACAGAGAAAAACUAUCCUAGUGAUCUAAUUUCUCGGAAAUUUGUACAUUGAACUCUGAGUUUCAGUGCAGGUAGCAGAAUAGAAGUUCUACUUUCCUAAGAGGCUCUUUAGAUGCUGGAAUUUAUUUCUAUUGAAAAGAGUCAGCUGUCUGCGCGAGUCACCUUCCUUCUUCUAGGCUCCGAGUAACCUUCUUCUAAGCUCCGCUGGACGACACGGCAUUCUCGUUCUAUAGGCCGGCAACUGAUUCUUUCCUGAUGUCAUGACUGUUUAAAAUCCACGAAGAAUUAAAAUUCUCAAACA